UAGGGAAUAUUAGUAAUGGGCGAAAGCCUGAACUAGCAACGCCGCGUGUGCGAAGAAGGCCUUCGGGUUGUAAAGCACUUUUUGAGAGGAUGAGGAAGGACGGUACUCUCAGAAUAAGUCUCGGCUAACUACGUGCCAGCAGCCGCGGUAACACGUAGGAGGCAAACGUUAUCCGGAUUUACUGGGCGUAAAGCGCGUGUAGGUGGUUUGGUAAGUAGGGCGUGAAAGCUCCUGGCUCAACUGGGAGAGGACGUUCUAAACUGCCAAGCUUGAGGAUGGUAGAGGGAGGUGGAAUUCCGGGUGUAGCGGUGGAAUGCGCAGAUAUCCGGAGGAACACCAGUGGCGAAGGCGGCCUCCUGGACCACUCCUGACACUCAGACGCGAAAGCUAGGGUAGCAAACGGG
rnacentral:rRNA from 3 species